rnacentral:lncRNA from 1 species
AAAAUAGCCGUUGUAAGCAUCGAAGUCCGUAACAAAUAAAAUAUGGUGGUGGUCAUAAUGUGAUAAAAGGUCAUUGACAUAGGCAUUUUGACCAACAUGCUUUGAAAUUUUAAAAAGACCAGCAUUACACGCUUGCAAUAUAACAUAAUCCUCAAUAUUAAAUUCAAAGUAUUGUUUAUGCCAAUCAACUUGAGGUUUAUAUAAUGCUUUACUUGCUUCAAAUUGUUUAUUGAUCUCAAUAUGCAAGCUAUGAAAA